AACGAACGCUGGUGGCGUGUUUUAUACAUGCAAGUCGAGCGAGGACGGUAGCAAUACCGAGCCGAGCGGCGAACGGGUGAGUAACGCGUAAGCAAUCUGCCCCACAAUCGGGAACAACCGUGCCAACGCGCGGCUAAUGCCGGAUAUUGUAGUCUACUGCAUAGUAGGCCAACGAAAGAUUUAUUGUUGUGGGAUGAGCUUGCGUCCGAUUAGCUAGUUGGCGGGGUAAUAGCCCACCAAGGCGACGAUCGGUAGCCGGCCUGAGAGGGUGAUCGGCCACAUUGGGACUGAGAUACGGCCCAGACUCCUACGGGAGGCAGCAGUAGGGAAUAUUGCGCAAUGGGGGGAACCCUGACGCAGCAACGCCACGUGUGGGAAGAAGCAUUUCGGUGUGUAACCACUGUCGGAAAGAAUAACGGAAGACUUCGGUCUUUAUGAAUGUACUUUUAGAGGAAGCACGGCAAACUUCGUG
rnacentral:rRNA from 1 species